GUCGGCGGCCCAGUCGACGCCGCGUUGCUCUCGGCUAUCGCUGAAGCUCUGAUAACGGGACCGGAGCGUUCGCGUGAUGUGCACCUGUGGCAGGAAUGUGGCGCGGCGCCGGUGCGGUGCGAUGUGAGUGCUUCUGCGACGCGACAACGACGGCGGAGAUGGCGACGGCGGCGCGCGUGGCGUGAUAGCGCGAGCCUGCAGGGCGCCGGGGCGCCUGCGCAGAGCCGGCCUCACGGGAGUGCGAGCGGUAGACGGCAUGCAGCCAGCCGCGCGUGCCCACACGUUGCACAGUUCGCACUGAGUCCGUGCACCGUGAAGCAUGCUAUACGAGACGAAAGCCAUAAACUCUGUGGGAACGUGCUACUCAACAGUGCCAGCUGUCUCUCAACACGGACCUGCGUCAC